CAGCCGCCGCGGUAAUACGUAGGUGGCAAGCGUUGUCCGGAAUUAUUGGGCGUAAAGGGCUCGCAGGCGGUUUCUUAAGUCUGAUGUGAAAGCCCCCGGCUCAACCGGGGAGGGUCAUUGGAAACUGGGAAACUUGAGUGCAGGAGAGGAGAGUGGAAUUCCACGUGUAGCGGUGAAAUGCGUAGAGAUGUGGAGGAACACCAGUGGCGAAGGCGACUCUCUGGUCUGUAACUGACGCUGAGGAGCGAAAGCGCGGGGAGCGAACAGGAUUAGAUACCCCCGUAGUCCCUGUCUCUUAUAC
rnacentral:rRNA from 1 species